rnacentral:rRNA from 1 species
UACGGAGGAGGCAAGCGUUAUCCGGAAUUAUUGGGCGUAAAGCGUCCGCAGGUGGCUAUUCAAGUCUGCGGUCAAAGACUGGGGCUUAACCCUGGAAAGGCCGUGGAAACUGAAGAGCUAGAGUGCAGUAGGGGUAGAGGGAAUUCCCGGUGUAGCGGUGAAAUGCGUAGAGCUCGGGAAGAACAUCGGUGGCGAAAGCGCUCUACUGGACCUUAUCUGACAUUGAGGGACGAAAGCUAGGGGAGCGAAUGGG